rnacentral:rRNA from 1 species
AAAGAAAGCGUAAUCGCUCACUGGUCGAGUCGGCGUGCGCGGAAGAUCUAACGGGGCUAAACCAUGCACCGAAGCUGCGGCAGCGACGCUUAUGCGUUGUUGGGUAGGGGAGCGUUCUGUAAGCCUGUGAAGGUGUACUGUGAGGUAUGCUGGAGGUAUCAGAAGUGCGAAUGCUGACAUAAGUAACGAUAAAGCGGGUGAAAAGCCCGCUCGCCGGAAGAC